GAUGAACCCUAGCGAUAGGCUUAACACAUGCAAGUCGAGGGGCAGCAUGGUCUUAGCUUGCUAAGACUGAUGGCGACCGGCGCACGGGUGCGUAACGCGUAUGCAACUUGCCUCACAGAGGGGGGUAACCCGUCGAAAGACGGACUAAUACCGCGUACACUCCAUCUUGGGCAUCCAAGGUAGAGGAAAUGAAAUUCGCUGUGAGAUAGGCAUGCGUCCCAUUAGCUAGUUGGUGAGGUAACGGCUCACCAAGGCGACGAUGGGUAGGGGAACUGAGAGGUUGAACCCCCACACUGGUACUGAGACACGGACCAGACUCCUACGGGAGGCAGCAGUGAGGAAUAUUGGUCAAUGGGCGAGAGCCUGAACCAGCCAAGUCGCGUGAAGGAUGACUGUCUUAUGGAUUGUAAACUUCUUUUAUACGGGAAUAACAAGAGUCACGUGUGACUCCCUGCAUGUACCGUAUGAAUAAGCAUCGGCUAACUCCGUG
rnacentral:rRNA from 1 species